rnacentral:rRNA from 1 species
AAAUAGAACUUUGCAGAGAGAGUUAAGAGGGCGUGAAACCGUUAAUUGGCAAACGAAUCGGAGCCACGAAGUCGCUUCGUCGAGUAAAAUCGUUGUAAGCGUACACUGCAGCUAGUUAGACGAUUGGCGGUGGAAAUAGUGGUUGUCGCAGGAGGUAGUAGUUCGGCCCCAUGUAUUUGGAUGUCCUUAUUGCUGGCUUGCUGACAAGAGAACUACCACCAAACACUGACUGGUAAAAUGAAACACUCGUUUCUAUACGGGCAGAUAACAGCGCGUAUUGUUACACGUUUGACGCGUAUGUUUCAAGUUCGGUAUUUUUGAAUUUAGACUUGCUUGCUACCAAUGGGGUAACUCUUGGUGCUUGUAUAGCUUCUAUCUAAUCGGGUAUCGACUUAACAUGCGCUAGUUUAAACGUGAAUCGUUUGAUAGUGCGCGUUCGCUAACUGUUCAUCAUUUCGCAGUGAGUAGGUCGGCUUUCCGAACGACCCGUCUUGAAACACGGACCAAGGAGUCUAGUUAGGCAUCAAGUCGAUCGGUCUUGAAUAGGCCAGACUAAAGCUCUUGCUUUAACUGAAGGCGUAGAGAAUCAUGUGAUCUUGUGGCAAUUCCAUGCUGCAAGCGCAACAUGUGCCUGCUCGUAUGCCAUUGCGCAAUGCAUGGGCGGAGUAAAGAGAUGUCUGACUGGUACCCGAAAGAUGGUGAGCUUGGGCAAAUUGAAGCCAGAGGAAACUCUGGUGGAGGAUUGUAGCGAUUCUGACGUGCAAAUCGAUCGUCAGACCUGAGUAUAGGGGCGAAAGACUAAUCGAACCAUC